GGAGAAAACGAAGUACUCAAAAAUAAGUUUUUUUAUACUCAAAAUUGAGUAAAGCAGUCGAACUGAAGUAGUGGGUAAAUUUCAUUCUGUCAAUUACAUACAUUUUACCCAACAUUUGAGUUCUCUAUCGAAAACUCAAAUUUGAGUAAAAAUCAACUUGUUCAAUUUAUUGCAGUCAUUUAGGCUGCGUUCUAGCCGUUGGGUAAUUUAAACACAAUUUUGGAUGAAAAAAUGUAGCAGCCACUUUAAAAUGUCAACACAGAUCAUUCCAUGUUAGUCAUCGUCGGUGAGGGAUGUAAAUCGUGAUCGUUUCUAAAAAAUAGUCGCAAAAUUGGUGGAUUAGUGUAGUGAUUUUUUAAAGAUCCUCAGUUCUUCCCUGCCACUCGUUGUGAAUGAUUUCCGGAACCGAGAUGCUGAUUACUGAUCUCAAAAGAAUUACCGCACUGAUUUCGACAGAUGGCACCCCGCUCCGAGCUUUGUUUUCCCGUUCCAGCCACCCUAUGCCACCGCCUAAUUGCAGUAAAUUUUCACACCCGAUACCAAAUGUUUUUUUGCACCGUGAACGUCGCUCCUGGCAUCCACGUCGUUGACUAAAAGCUUCAAGCGAAUAAAGGUUUUUUUUAAA